rnacentral:misc_RNA from 1 species
GAUGAAGAACGUAGUGAAAUGCGAUAAGUAAUGCGAAUUGCAGAAUUCCAGUGAGUCAUCGAAUCUUUGAACGCACAUUGCGCCCUUUGGUAUUCCGAAGGGCAUGCCUGUUCGAGCGUCAUUAUCACCCCUCAAGCCCUCGGCUUGGUGUUGGACGGUUUGGUGGAGGCCCCCUCGGGGGCUCCUGCCCCUCCCAAAGACAAUGACGGCGGCCUCGUUGGACCCCCGGUACACUGAGUUCUUCACGGGACACGUAUCGGACACAUGGGUUUACGGGACACGGUCUGCCUCCCCUCAGGGAGAAUCUUUCUAAGGUUGACCUCGGAUCAGGUAGGGAUACCCGCUGAACUUAAGCAUAUCAAAAGCGGAGGA